rnacentral:rRNA from 1 species
UACGUAGGGUGCAAGCGUUGUCCGGAUUUAUUGGGCGUAAAGAGCGUGUAGGCGGCCAGGUAGGUCUGCUGUGAAAACUCGAGGCUCAACCUCGAGAUGUCGAUGGAAACCGUCUGGCUAGAGUCCGGAAGAGGAGUGUGGAAUUCCUGGUGUAGCGGUGAAAUGCGCAGAUAUCAGGAAGAACACCUAUGGCGAAGGCAGCUCUCUGGGACGGUACUGACGCUGAGACGCGAAAGCGUGGGGAGCGAACAGG